CCCGGCCCUCCCCGCGCAGUGCACCAGGCUAGUCGAAACGCCGGGAAAGCUUCGAGCCUGACUCCCGGGUCACCUGGCCCCUGCGCCCGGCCCUGCCUUCAGGGGAGCCCCAGGGCCGCCCGUGGUCGCUGGGGACCGCGCACCGGGCUCCGGGGCAGUCACGUGGUCGGCGGAGGCGGCCUGGGCUUCCUCACCUGCAUCCCGGGAACUUGCACAGCCACCGCAGAAGUGAUGAGCCUCCCUGGGUGACCGAAGGCACUGCCGGCAACAGGCACUUGUCUCUAGAUCUUUGGAAACAUAAAAGAUUUCAUUACCUUCCUGGAAACCUUGGCUCUAAAUAGCAUGGGAAUCCAACAUUUUCAUCUCAGUGCUACCAAGUGCCGGGAUAAUAGACCAAGCAAAUCUGCAGCAGUCACCUGGGUGCUUCUAAAUAUCUGGAUGGUUGACAAAAAGUUUAAUCUGAUGUCCACAUCAUUACCUCAAGGUAACAUAGUCUGACUCCUCAGGUAGAACUCUGGUUCCCUUUUCUUAUGCCCACACUUAUCCUUCGGUGUUUUACCUAUCUGUUUGCUUCUGUAUCUCCCCCACGGGGCCUAAUUUUAGGAAGAAAGACACUGUGUCCUUGCUCCCAGUUGUUUCCACAGUGCCUAGCGCAGUGUUUGGAGCAUUACUGCACACUCAGUAAAUAUUAGUCCGAUGAAAACACUAGGACAACACUAAGUGGAUACGGUAACGCUAAGGUAAGGCAGUGGAGAGAGAGCUCUGCCAAGGGUCAGCCGAUUCCUUGGAGAUUUGCCUACGUAGGUGGCACCAUAGCUAGAGCUGCCCCCCUGUGUAAGGACUCUUUCUGUAUUUCAGUUGACGAUGACCAGGAACGAUGGGGCUGGGGAAGCCAGCUGGAUUGAUAUGCUGAUACCAUUUUCAGACCCGAACGAGGACCUUGGGGCCCAUGUGGUGCCACUCCCACAUUUUAAACAUGGAGAAACUGGGGCACCGAAGGCAACAGCUGCUGUCCCUGAGGCACUAGCUAGCAGAGGACCCUUUCACACCCGUGCCUCCAGACAUGGUCAGUGCUCUUCCCUCUGCAAUCAGCCGCCUCUCCUAAAGCCUGAAGGUCAACAGCCAGCGUUUCAAGGGCAGCUCCACAAAGGACAUGACCACGUGGGCUCUGGGAGAUAUCUUCCCCUUUCCCCACCUCAGUUUCCCCACUGGGAAAAUCAGCCUUAUAACGUGUGACUCCCGGGGCCAUGGUGAGCUAGCCUUAGAGGAAACAGUGCUUGGAAUGUUCCUAGCGGAGUGCCUGUUACAUAGCUGAUUCCCAGCUCCUGACUCCCUUCUCCUCUACCCGGGCACAUGAGGCCUUUCAGGACAUGCAGAGAUGAAGAGUGUCUUUCGUGGCUGGGAAGGGUCAGCUGUGCAGAGGGUCUCGGCUGCUCAGACCCGUCUCAUCCUUCAGGAGACAAAUUUGGAGCUCAAUCCUGCAUCAGUGUGCUCUUACUCUGAAGAGACUCUCCUCCCUGCUCACUCCUGACAAACCCCCAAGGAAACAGAGCUUCUAAACACAGACUUUCCAAUUUUCCUAGUAAAAUGAAUGAAAGAACCUUUUGGGGAAUAAAGUGAUUUCUUUUUAGCUCCACUUGUUUACUUUUCCAUAAGCUCCCAAGAUGGCUUACAUGUUAGCUGUUAAUCACACCAUCUGUUCAAACAGUACUUCAGUAAAUGAUUCAAUUCAUACUUUUCUGCUAAAAGAAUCUUUUUAAAGACA